UUAAAGGCAUAUUUUUUAAUUUUAUUGCGAGAUCAUGAUCAGUUCGAAUUUAGUGUGUGAAGAAAUCUAUAUUACCCUCUUAAUGAAAUAAAAUGUUCGGUGGAGACAUCUACCGAUUCUUUCGAAAGUAUCGUAAUCGUAGACUCUCAAGGUGCAUAAAAGUCGUAUGGAACUCAUUUUCAAAAUUGCAUUCAAUUGCAUUACAGUCUCAAAUAAUUCUUUGCUUGAAUGAAAUAUUGGAAGCAAUACAUAUAAUUACAAUCGAAGCUCUCAUUCAAUCACAGUUCGAAAUAAUUGUUGAAAUUUUGCUACAACUUAUGAAACAAAACCUACAUAAGAUUAUAUACCAUACCUUAUACCACAUUAUAAUGCUUGAUUAAUCAGUAUAAAAAUAAUAAUUGAGGAUGAACAAAAUGUAAUUGUUUACUCGAAAAAUGAAAUUUUAAGUGUAUAAUAGUAGCAAUCUAUACAAUUUAUUACCUGUAAUUUCAUUCAACACAAAGUUUUAAUUGUAUAAAACGCUAUAUAAUAAAUUGGCAUACAAUUCAUAAAGUGUCAUAAAUUUUAAAGUAUAUAUAAAGUAUAAUGUAGCAGAAACAUAGCUAUCGCUUAAAAUACCACAGCCAAUCGUCGACAAACAUUUGUGAGGUCAGUCCACCGAGCUCUCGUGAAAUUAGCUGAAGAGGGAGAAAUAGAAUGCAGCUAGUGAAUGUGGCAUAACAGAAUAAAAGGAGCACGGUGCAUCCUUUACUGAUGAAAGUCUGACUCGACCUACAGGCCACUACAAAAUUAUCUUCUUUAACUCUCAUCUCUAGAGGAAAAAUAUUUUCUACUUCAAGUCAAAGAAAACAUGAAUGCAAAUGUAAAAGCAUAAUUACAAAAAUAUUUCAUAGCCUGAAUAUUUGAUAAUACGAUAGACUUUUUAUAAACGAUAGAAACUAACCUCUUUUCAGAAAGAAAUGUUACCUUUACCUCGUGCUUGUAGGAAAUAGAAGGAAUGAAAAAUAAUGAAUUAUUUAAAACGAGAUGAAGUAAACCACGCACAAAAUCAUAUUUUGAAGAAGCUAAAAAAUAUUGGAAUAUUACUGUUAUACAAAAUAGGAAGAAAAUUAAGAUACAUAUAUAUAGUCAUUUUAAUUAUGUUGUACAAACACAUACAAAACCUUGAAGACACUGCUAAAGAUAGACCAGAGGAUUUUCGCGGGUGGCAAAGGAAGGCAGUCGGCGAAAGACGAGCUUUCUUCGAAUCGAAAGAGGAAGAUCGAGUGACGGAGCGUGUCCGCCCGACAACAGCGAAUCCUCAAGCUCGAAAAUAGAUCGCAUAGCUUUCCCGGCACUUCAAACGACGUGUAUCGUAAUAGGCAAGCCCGCUGCUCACCGAAAAGUCUUGGCCACGGAUAAUUAAACGUUUAUAAACACCAGAGAUUCCGCAAAACCCUGGUCGCACAUGACGACAUUAUUUGGCACGUUUCACCGAAAGAGCAACGUGCAAGGCCACGAUAAAAUCUGCAUUUAUUAUGCGAAUCAUAAAUACGAGAGAUACAAACUGAGCAAUAUUACGAGAAUUUUGGCUUCGUAUAGAUUUAAUUUAAAUAUAACAUAAAACAAUUUUUUGUAUGUAAUAUAGGAACAUUCACUUUCUUUGAAUAAGUAUUGUUAUACAUGUUAUUUAAAAUUUUUACAAAUGUAGUCAUUCGCUAUGUUUGAGGAAAUAAUUGAGUUCAGAUAAAUUAAUUGUGUUUAUGAAUAUAAUUUAGUUUAGUUGAGUUUAAACAAAAUAUUUUUUAUGAAUAUGAUAUGAGUAUUUACAAGACUUUUUUGCAAUAGUAAAACAAAUACUUUAACAGAAUAAGAGAAGUAUCCCCAGUCAAAAUGUUUGUUAACAUGUUUGAGAAGAUUAAUUUUGUUUUAGUUCUGUAAAAGUUAAAAGAAAUUUUUAAUAGAGUAUAAAGCUAUUGUAACUGGGUGGAAUCUCGGUUAAAUUGAAAGUUUUAAUUUAAUAAGUAUUCAUAAAAAAUACCAUAAAAGAUACAAGUUGUUAAUUUUACAAAAUUAAUUUGUUUUACGGGCGAAUAAUGUGGUCUACAGCUGUUUGGAGUGAUAAUACAUAUAAGAUUCUCUCAAGUAUCAGGAAUGUUUUAACGUGUAAUAAAAUUUUAAGCCGUAGUUUCUGAUUAUUUUGAGCGAUGUACGAUUGCGUAACGUAAACCUUCGAAGCGUUCGAAAGCUUUGAAAAAUAAGCUUCCGGAUUUUUAAUGCCACUUAUCUUGUAUCUUUUUGAUUUACAGAUAUAGUCUGAAUCUCCUAUCUUGCGUAUUAGUGAUAAACGCUAUUACAUAUGGUGAUAUACUUUUUAGAGACUUUACAAAGUUUUCUUUAGCAUAUAUUUUAUAUAAAAUAAGAAUAGCAUUUUAAACGAUGAUGAACUGUUUGUUAAAUAUCAUAAUUGCAAUAUAUCUAUAAACAAAAAAGUGGGUUCGGAUUUUAAGCAUUUUAGAUUAUUUUAUAUGAAAUGUUUAUUUGAAAAAAAUUCAAUCUACAUUUGGAUGUUAUUAAAUCAUCAUUUUGCCAGUAAUUCGCCUGGUAACAGAAGCUGCAAUCAGCCUGUAAACUAACAAAUCAUUAUCGUUUAGCAGUUAUUACGUGAACUACUGACGUAAUACAAGUAGGUGCACGUGUACGAUUUAACGAUUUUUCGAAGUCGCUUCAACUUGUUAUAAGCUCUCUAACCAGCACAAAAAUAGUAUAGCUUCCAUAUUCUUCGUUUUACAAAGGCUUUUUCAUUUUUAAACUGUUAUUAGAAUUUAACGUGAGAAACAAAAACCAAGGAGACUCACUUUAUUACAAAAGAAUUUAGAAUUAGGUGUGUUUUAAUAAAAAUAUCAAUGAGUGUUGAUUUUCUCAUUUCUCUCUGUUUAAUCUCUCAUAAGACGAAAUUGAAAAUAAAGCUAGGAGUGCCUACUUCUUUCCAUAAAACAAUUAAAAGUAGUUAUCGAGUUUUAUAAUAAAAUGAGAAAAGUGGUAUUACCAAUACUUCUAAAAAAAUAAUUUGACAAGUGGAUAAUUUGUUCAUAUAAAAUUAUUUUCAUUCUCAGAAAUUGCGUUUCUGUCAUUAUAAUAUCUUCAUCUAUAAACACCUUGUUCCAUACUUUGACAAAUUGUUUCAACAGUCCUAAAAUAACGCGAUGAAAAGAAAAACAGAAAAUACUUGAAGAUUUAUCACGACACAGGAAACAUUUGCCUAAAUUUGAAGCUUAUCAAACGAUAAGAAAUGGAGCGAUAAGCGACCAAAAUUCACAGGUGUGGGCUACAUCUGUGAAAAUUAACAAGCAUCGAUCCGGGACCGACAAAGAUACGCACGUCCUUACAAUCUAUAUCGUUAACAAUCUGAAAAAAUAGAUAUAAAAUGGCCCCAAAUCAAAAUAUUCCGUUGUUCCUCUCCAGCCAUUCGUCAUGUCUUGUCGAUCUUCAAACAAAACAAUAAAACGAUUAAUUUUAUGAUUCUCGAGAACGUUGCAAUUGUGCAAGAAAAUGUUAAUCGCAGAAAUAACUAAAUAACUGAGCUAAGCCCUGCAAUAUCAGGUUCCUUGGCAUGUUGUCAAGGAGUCAUUGUUUCGUCUGAUUGUCUCGUAUCGAAAAUUUGCCAGCAAAGGCAUGAAAAGAAAAAAAAGAGAGAGAAGGAAAGAUGGAUAAACGCUCAAGAUCGUGGGUUCGCACAGGUAAACAGGACGGAGCUCCAAUUAAAUUUGGCAAGAAAUUCUGGCACGAUUUUAGAAUGGCCGACGUAGCCGAUUUCACGGCCACUCGCGUCACUAUACAGUGAGGGAGCGAUGUCUUAAGACGCGAGAUCCCUUGCGACAUAAAUGACUUGCCUUAAGCCUUAAACUAUUGCAGCCAGCUUACUAUUAAAAUACAACGACCGUCCGUUCCAUCCUUCGCUUCUCUUACAUCGUUUAUGGGGCUUUUUGAUAAUCUCGAUUCUUCAGUAUAGGAAUUCAAAAUUCAUACUAAUCAACUCUAUAAAUUAAAAUAUACAGAGAAACUUUGAUGCUGAGAAUGCUAUUUUUCAAAAUUUACCUUGAAAUUUAUAAUCAUUUAUAUCAUCUUGCCAUAAAUGAAUUUAUGAAAGCAACUUGUUUUUUGAGAAGUUGAACACUCAUUAUACAUCUUGAUAACGUAAUUGAAAGAUGUAUAAAAUGUUAAAGAUUAUAUAUGCGGAUGGUUCCAUUCAUACGUAAAUAGCUUAGUCAGUGUUAUCCAUCAUUUGCUUAUAAUUCUUACCUGCAACUUUUAGAUAAAGAAUUUACAUGUUAUUUAUGGUUUAUUGUAAUAAUAUAUUGAUUUUGAAAUAA